rnacentral:rRNA from 1 species
GACGAACGCUGGCGGCGCGCUUAACACAUGCAAGUCGAGCGAGAACCAGGGCUUCGGCCCUGGGGACAGCGGCGAACGGGUGAGUAACACGUGGGUCAUCUGCCCUCGGCACCGGAAUAGCCCGGGGAAACCCGGAUUAAUGCCGGAUGGCCCGGCUGCUCUACGGGGCGGUCGGAAAAGGUAGCUUCGGCCUCCGGCCGAGGAUGAGCCCGCGGCGGAUUGGCUAGUUGGUGGGGUAACGGCCCACCGAGGCGACGAUCCGUAGCUGGUCUGAGAGGACGAUCAGCCACACUGGGACUGAGACGCGGCCCAGACUCCUACGGGAGGCAGCAGGGGGGAAUCUUGCGCAAUGGGCGAAAGCCUGACGCAGCGACGCCGCGUGAGGGAAGAAGGCUUUCGGGUUGUAAACCUCUUUCAGGAGGGACGAAGCCACUCGGGUGAAUAGCCCAGAGGGUGACGGUACCUCCAGAAGAAGCCCCGGCUAACUACGUGCCAGCAGCCGCCGUAACAC